AAUAAGUGCAGUUUUAGCACUGUUCACGUCCAACGUACGACCGUUCGUCUUAUUUGAAAAAAAAUUAUGAUUUAUAUUUUUAUUGUUACUAGAUAAUAAAAUAUGAAUAGUAUUUUACGUGUGACUAAUUUUUUUUAAUAUUUUUCAUAAAUUUUUCAAAUAAGACGGAUGGUCAACACGCUAAACACGGAUAUAUAUGGCUGCACUUAUU
rfam:Oryza sativa (indica cultivar-group) chromosome 12, whole genome shotgun sequence.